GCAUCAUUGUCGGGUUACAUGGGGGAUUUCCAAAGAGAAAUCGCCUUUUUUUUUUUUUUUUUUCUGGUUAAAUGGGGGAUUUUUGAAGAGAAAAUGAGUGAUUUUCAGAUUAAAUGGGGGAUUGUUGAAGGGAAAAUGUGUGAUUUUUGGAUUUAAACAGCUAUUUUUGUAGAGAAUAGGCAUGAUUUUUGGUUUAAAAGAGGGAUUCUCAAAGAGAAAAUGCAUUAUGUUUGUUUAAGUGGGGUAUUUUUGAAGGGAAAAU
ensembl:lncRNA